rnacentral:rRNA from 1 species
AAUWWUACUCCUACGGGAGGCAGCAGUGGGGAAUCUUGCSCAWUGGGCGAAAGCCUGACGCAGCAACGCCGCGUGCGGGAUGAAGGCUCUCGGGUCGUAAACCGCUUUCAGCAGGGACGAAAAUGACUGUACCUGCAGAAGAAGCCCCGGCUAAAUACGUGCCAGCAGCCGCGGUAAUACGUAUGGGGCAAGCGUUAUCCGGAUUUAUUGGGCGUAAAGAGCGCGUAGGCGGAUUGUUUAGUCAGAUGUGAAAACCGGGGGCUCAACCCGCGGCCUGCAUCUGAAACUGGCAGUCUUGGGUCUGGUAGAGGAAAGUGGAAUUCCCAGUGUAGCGGUGAAAUGCGCAGAUAUUGGGAGGAACACCAGUGGCGAAGGCGGCUUUCUGGGCCACGACUGACGCUGAGGCGCGAAAGCUAGGGGAGCAAACAGGAUUAGAUACCCUGGUAGUCCUAGCCGUAAACGAUGGGCACUAGGUGUGGGGGGUCAUCAACUCCCUCCGUGCCGCAGCUAACGCAUUAAGUGCCCCGCCUGGGGAGUACGACCGCAAGGUUAAAACUCAAAUGAAUUGACGG